UCUCUGUAGUGACCAGCAGGGGGCGACUCCUCUGCUCCCAUAGACGUCUAUGAGGAAAUGACUCUACUUCUCUGUAGUGACCAGCAGGGGGCGACUCCUCUGCUCCCAUAGACGUCUAUGAGGAAAUGACUCUACUUCUCUCUGGAUUUAUUCCCAUAGUAAACAUUGUAAACAUGAGUUUAUGGUCUCAGUCUGAUGUUCAUUUAGUGAAUUAUGGUCCAUUUAGAGUCAAACAGACCAUAAAGCAGGGGACGCUUUAGGGCGAGGCUUCCUGUGAUUGACAGUUCCUUCCCAGAUAUCUUUGGUCACUUCCUGUCCACUGGUUGCAGCCAAUAUGGCGACCUGGAGGCGUCGAGCUCUAGCAAGUGAUCUCAGCAUCAUUUGAGGAAGGCUGAAGACACAAAGACGCACACGUCCCACGAACCGGUGCACGUUGUGUUUGUGAGGUCGCGCGACGGCACCAGAGCGCCAGGAUCUACGGCUGAUGGAGAACCAGCUGCUGAGGGGCGGAUGGGAUCCAUCGGCCCUUUUUCCUUCCCAUGAGAAAGGAGGCUCGGACGUGAACACACGCAGCCCGGUUCGUCUGACUGGGAGGACCGGGAGGAGAGCAGUGCAUCCUGGGAGUUGAAGCGAGCUGCUCCCUUCGCUUUCUGACAAUGUCACAGUUCUACAAAAUAAAUAUUCCCUCAGGCCUUGGGAAUCAUUUAGAUGAUUCUGAACACACACAAGGUGAAAACACAUCCGGCUCGCCAUUCACAACAUUUUCAUGGUCUUUCUUUUUUUACUAAACAGAGUGAUUAGUCUCAGCGAGAGAAAAGAAAAUUACUGAUUUGUUCCCUCAAAUGAAUCAUCUCAACCUUUAAUUUCCUCCCCUGAUGUAAUAUCUGCAGUGCUCUGUAAUUACAUGUCAUCAAGUUACUGUAGAGGUUGGAGCUGAAUUUAAAAGGUUGCUGCUCUGCUACGUCGGGGAGACACGAAGGGACAAAUGAACACUGGUGCUGUCACCUGGUCACCUGGUCACCGGGUCACCUGGUCACCUGGUACAGAACCAAGUCCAUCUACAGCGAGAUGAUGCUGCUGUGAACAUGGAUUCACUAGGUGAGACUUUAUUGGACGUGAUCAUUGUGGUGUUGUUUUUUUACAAAAGCAGUGGACAGGAAGUGACCAAAUAAGGACUGAGGAGGACGUUGGUAGAGACCUGUCAAUCAGUGUGUAGCCCCGCCUCUGAAGCAUCGUGUGGUCUGUUUGGCUCUAAAUGGACCAUAAGCUGCUAAAUGUCAUCGACACACAACAGUGUCAACAGGAUUAUAAUUACUGUCAUUAUUAUUAUGGAGGUAGUCGACAGUUAUUGGGUGAAAAAGAUGUUGAAACGGACAAAGCAGAAUAGAUGAGUGAAUAAAUCAAGCUGGACGCGAUGAUCAUUUAUCCGCCGCCUUAAAUGACUUUCAUGUUGAUGGUUUAGUAUUUAAUGGGAUGCAAGUGGUUUCCAGAUAGAUUAUCUUUGUGUUUUCUGGGUCAUGCACUCAUUUAACAGCAUUAACACCGGCACAUAAGGAAUGAGUUAUUAUUCAGCCAGCUACGGACACUAAACAAAGGGUUGUACGCCGAUCAACCUCCUCGCUGUAAACGGAGGUAUUAUCUAAAGGAGACAUUCGGAGCCUCGUAUGACAAUUAGGGGACAUUCAAGAAAGAAAUUGCAGAUGAUGGUAACGUUUAUUUAUCGACGUGGGGACGACUGAAUGCAAUUUACUACUUUAUCAUUUUAAAUGGAUUCUACAGUGCAGAUGCAUGUAAAAAGCCACUUUGGAAGAUCUCGUCCAGGAUCCUGAGGACAGGAGACAAUCGGGCUCCAUAGUAGCCGCAAAGUUCCCUUACUUAUAUUAAUCUAUUGUCAUUCAUUCAUUUGAAUUACUGCCUUUUAAAUGCUGAGUCUCCUGUUAAUUAUAUGUGAACAUCGCCCCCCCGUCCCGCAUCAUGACAUCAUCAUGACAUCACUGUUACCGCUACCAAAGCCCCUGUCGGCUGCUUUGUUACAGCCGUGUGAACCCAAAGUAAAGAGACGCUGAAACGACAACCGGCGAUGUGUGAGAGUCGGACGUCAGCGCUGUAGCCGCUCCGUCAACCCUGGGAGUAAGGUGACGUGGGCGUGAAUGUUACCGGUUUGUCCCGCGCUACGCACAUCAACACACACAGCCCUCAUCUGCUGCCACACAGCAGACGGAAGACACAUCAGAUUUCAGUCAAAAGAGACGGAAACGAGAAGACGACAAAAGAAGCUCGGAGACGAUCGCACAGAAACAGGGAGGGAAAUAUCGACUGUGUCCCAACCGUCCCAAUGACAGCUCGUCUUCGUCCCUCCUCAUACACCCCCCCACACACACACAACGCCCUACGAGCGUUGGCCACGGGAGGGAUGGGGGGGGUCAGAGGGCAACGUGGACGUGACGUGAGGAAGAGACGAAGAGCGAGGGAGGCGUUGGAUGAUGAUGGAGGGGGGGGGGGCUGCGUGGGGCAGAUACCUGGUGAGUAACGGCGGCCUGAAGCUAAAUAACUCCUCGCUAGAACUACGCAGGAGGAUCCUCGCUGUGUGUUUGUGUUACAGGAGCAUAUACACAACACACUGUGUAUAUGCAGAGAGCACCAUGGAGAGGUUAAGUGAAGAAGAGGAGGAUGCUAAACAACUGUGAGGAGAUGAAGAGGCAUCCAAAGGAGGGGGGGGGGGGGUCAAAGCAUCCAACAAACAUGGAGACAGGAAGCAGAAAGAGCGCAGCAAUCAAUGAGAAGAAGGGGGAGAAGGCGGGACCAGGAGACCAGUGGAGGAGAGUGAAGGUCCACCUGAAGGUCUCGAUGUGUCCGUCCUGAGCUCUGAGUCACACGACUCAGCAGCAGGUCUGAGCGUCACCGGUUCAACGGGCGGCAGCCCAAAUACACAAAUACUAAUAACAAACAGCACGGAUACGCCGUCGGCGCGCCGUUGUCAUAGAAACAGGAAGUGACGGGAGCUCCCGGCGCCCUGCGGCCGCUCCUCCGCCCGUAGACCUUCCUUCGCUGAGCCAGGAAGUCAAAGAAAGGAGGCCAGGAAGAAGGUGAGAAGAGGUGGGAAGCCCGUUGGGGGGGCGGGGGGCAAUUAGUAAGGAAGGGAAGUGACUCUCUCCCUCGGGUUGGUUGAACGUUGGAUGUGAGGCUCUGUGUUCUGUUAAAUAGGCGACGCCGCGCAAAGAGAGCAGUGUAGAUGAACGCACACAAACCCACUCACAUGCAGCACUGUGAUCGGCUCUGUCGAGACUUUGCACCCCCAACGCUCACAUGUCGGCAACAUGCAACGCACACAAACCCCGGUUUUACGUAAGUGUGUCGCACACCCACUCGCUGGGAGUUGACGCCGUGCAGAGCAUGGAGGUGAAGGGGGGGGGGUUCAUUUCCUCUCGUUUUCAACCAGCGGGGCUGAAUGCCGAUGUCGAUGCUGAAUGCGUGGAACGAGAACAACAUCAACGCGAGAAACAACAUCCAGCUGCAUCGCUGGAACUGGAAUCGGGAGGCGUAAUGAAGUGAGAGAGGCAGAUGUAACCAGCAGGCUGUGGCUCCAGUGCGUUGAAGCUGCAUUCUCUGUACCGUCCACUAGGGGGCGACUCCUCCGCUCCGACACAGGCCUGUAAAACAACAUGGCCACGGCCGUAACACCAAGAGGCCGAUGGAGGACUGUUGCAAUUCACCCAACUGAAGGGCACAGGUUGCAAAAGUCCUACUUAUUCAUUCUAAGUGUAGCUCCACUGGUGUGGAGGCAGAUUUCACGGCCUCGCAGCAGGAAGCUUCUUCCUCGUGUGCAUUUGUUCGUGUUUUCCUUUUGGAAUUAAGAGGUUUCCUGGGCGGCGGAAGUGUUGGUUUCCAUUAACUGUCUGGGGCCUUUAAAAUCGCCUUGAGGCGUCAAACCAGCGUGUUUGAUGCAGGCGGGUCGCAGGCUGCCGGAGCGCCGUCUGGCACUCACGGCGCUCUCUUCAGCUUGAUGGCGGUUGCGUCAUCCGCUCUGUGUCGCGUCUCCUUCCAGCUGCAGCCGAGCCUCCACCGCUGACUGAGGGAAGUCAUUUAGCAGUAUAGUGCUGUAGUAUUACUGUGCAAACUCUACAAUGUCAAAUAUUUUUCACUACACAUUUGCUGUAAAUUACUGUGACUCGGUAGAAGCUUAAUACUACGGUAAUACUUAAAAAGCAUGAAAUACUUUUUCUGUGAGGAGUCACUCAAAAUAGAUUUUCUAAAUGCUUCUUGACAUAGAAUGUAACUUAGACGUCACAUGACAUCGCGUCCGGCAGCUUUAUAUCUCUUUUUAUCGGACACGUCUGAGUGAGGAGAUGUAAUGACAGACUGACAGACUUCCGUUACGUCCAGUAAGUAGUUGAAUUAAAUAGUAAUAAUUCUUCCUUUGCCCCAAACUAACUGGAUGUAAUAAUCAUUUAAGCUCACGGUUCAUAUCCGACCUUUAGAGGUCAUCAGCCCUCCAUCAUCAGUCCUUCUCUAGAAGUCAUCAGUCCUUCUCUAGAGGUCAUCAGUCCUCCUGUAGAGGUCAUCAGCCCUUCUCCAGAUGUCAUCAGCCCUUCUCUAGAGGUCAUCAGUCCUUCUCCAGAUGUCAUCAGCCCUUCUCCAGAUGUAAUCAGCCCUUCUCUAGAGGUCAUCAGUCCUUCUCCAGAUGUCAUCAGCCCUUCUUUAGAGGUCAUCAGUCCUUCUCCAGAUGUCAUCAGUCCUUCUCUAGGGGUCAUCAGUCCUUCUCUAGAGGUCAUCAGACCUCCUGUAGAGGUUAUCCGGAGUCAGUGAUAGACUCCCUGCUGUGAGUCAUUCUUUGUAAAAAGGUUCAGAGCUUUACAGAGACAUGAAUCUGAAAAGCCCGGCGACAAACUGAAUGAACAGAGAAAAGCCUGAGGCAAUAAAGAGACUAAGGAGGAACAGAAGGAACCGAUAAGAGACACUGGAGAGUACGACAAAUAUCAGGUUUGAUUUGUAGUUCAGUGCCUAAUAUCAGCUUCAAUCUUCCAUCUGUAACGAGUGAAUAUCCUCUUUGGCCACAGGUUGAGAAUAAAGCCUUGGGAUGAAUUCAGGUAUCAGUGAUGAUACCAAUGUUCUCGAGGUGGAGAUUCCUUUUAGCUCCGGCUUUGGUCCCCACCGACUCCCAGCGACCGCGAGCAGAAGCCUGCGAAGCUCAGCCGAGUCGAGAGCAGCUGCAGAUUUGGUGAUCAAUUAUUUUCAGACAUUUUGUAGAUCGUUAUUAAGUGUAAGUAGUGCGAGUAGUGAGCCAUUACGCUCAAUUUGAUUUCUGAUCCGCUCCCUGGCCGAGUUCAUCUGUGGCCCUUUGUCUGUUUCUCUUUCAUUUACUCGCCCUUCAGAAGAACCGCCUUCUUUUUGCAACCGUCCACCUAAAAAGUGAGUUACUACAAGUCAUCCAUCCCCAAAAUGGGUCUCAAUCUUUCGUUUUGAUGCUUCAGGGCGGGGCUACACGAUGAUUGACAGGUCGACAACACAGACGUACAUAAUUCUCAAUCCUUAAAUGGUGACGUCCUCCUCACUUUUAUAAGAAAAGCAUCACGGACAAAUCAUUUAGGUGAAGAGUGAGAACUCCAGCGCGUGUUUAUUUACUGAAAACUACAGUAUUUCAGAUGGAAUUCAUCUGUAACUUGAUCACAACACGGUUUCCAGCUGUGAUGUAAUCACGCUGCUUCGCUUCAUCAGAACUCGACAACGGGAGAGAAAACUCCCUAAAUGGCAACUGGAGUAUUGUUUGUACAGUCGACAAUAAUACAUGCGAGUACUUGUUUAUGCCUUUAAUCACAUUUAUUAAAUCAUCUCCGUGGCUGAUUAUUUUUAGAGCAGUUUCUGGCGACGUUUGGUUCCUUUUGGACGACGCUGGAGAUAAAAUGUAGUUUCAUUUGCCAGCGCGCGAUGAGAGGAGGUGGAGGGAAGGAACAGAUGGAGGUUACUGGAAGAAGAAACCAACAAUAAUGUUUACAAAAGAGAAGGAAGCGAAACACCGGACGGAAUCUGCUCCGCGGCGUAACUUCUCUCCUGAAACCGUCGUUUAUUGAUGAGGCUUUGGGGACGUUUGUCAGAAGGCGAAUCAGCCGACGAGAGAUGAGAUGAGAUGAGAUGAGAUGAGAUGCGAUGUCCCCCCCUUGGAUACAUGGAGACAUGUGGAGGUUUUAUGUAUUCAACUUUUAGAUCCCCGAUCAGGUCUUUUCGCUAUGAAUUGCUGAUCAAUAUUGACGGAUACAGAUCUGUGGUUUCUUUAUAGCAGCUGGUCUACGAGGGUCAACAAUGUUCAUUUUCACCGUCGCCGAAGUCAAACUUCCUUCCUGCCUUCAAAAGAAACACACAAUUCAAAAGAUAAUGAAAUAAAUAACUGUUUCUUGAGUGAAACGAAUCGUUUCUUCAUAACGUGUCAUGAGCUGCGUUCACGCCGUUAAACCACACGGCGCAGAAUAAACACCGACAUUCACGGAACCGUCGUUCCGUCACGCCGACUGGGCUUCAGGGGAAGAAAGUCCUAUUUCCCUUUGUGGCCGCGCUCGUGAAAGCGCCCGCCGGGACGGGCCGCGCAGCCCCGCCGUCCCGUUUCUAGACCACGGCGGUGGUCUUCCAGCCGCUGCAGGGGGACGGUUCCUCUGACCGGACAGCUUCGUGGUCCAGGAGCAGAAGUGACCGGGAACAAAAUAGACUAUGAGGGACACAAAUGACACGAAACCGAUAAAAACAACAACGCAAAAUGAAACCGAAGCUUCAGGCGGUGAGACUCCAACAAGCGGAGUGUCUCUACUGUCCGGUGCCUCCUUCCCUUCGCCGCUGCCUCGUUUCCUCUGUCCUAGCUCGCUGCUUUGCUUCAAUUAUCAGCCGCCAGGUGUGGACACACACACACACACACACACACACAUUCCCUCAAACUGAAGUGGGAGCGGAAAACAAUGGCGGCGAUAUUGCAGGCUGGUGGCGAACGAGAACGUGGGCGAGCGAGGAUUAAUUACAGAUAUGAGAGAGAGAACAUGUGAGAGGAUGGGGGGGGGUGGGGGGGGAUGUGAUAUUUGGGAAGCCGCCUGCGUGAUGGUCACUCAGAGGACGCAGUCGUGCUGAUUAAACGUGAACAACACAACGAGUCGACGGCUGGAAGUGGUUCUUCAAGUUAAAUUCUCAUUUCAGACUCUAACAGGAGAAGAUUCAUCUAGAAAAGGACCUGCAGAUGAAAGUCUCACAUGAAGACAGGUUAGAAAUCCCUAAACAAAAGCGUGUGGCCUCAAUGUUUAGUUUAAGUCCUCUUCAACACAGUGGAACGCCCAUUUUAGUGGAUUUAAUGUGCUUUGGGGGCGGGGCUACAGCGUGAUUGACAGGUCUCUACUCCAUCAGGAAAAGUCACACUAGCCAAAUGUGUCGAAGAGAUGGAAAUCAAUGAAGAUCCACCAGGUCACUUCUGUGAGUCGCCGAGACGUUGAGUUGUGUUUGGUUUUCGUUGCGUUGCGUCGUGUUUUUGUCGCGUUGUGUUACAGUUGCGUUGCAUCAGAUGGAAGAAAACCUCUACGACUACGCAGUGAGGCAACAUGUGUGAAUGCAUGAGACACGUCAUUGACCAGUGAUCCACACACACACACACACACAAUCAAUAGAGCUGAUUAAGCAGCUGGGCAGAGACAAAUAGUCCAUUACGUGUGUGUGUGUGUGUGUGUGUGUGUGUGUUUAUCGUUUGUUUGUCAUUGUUUACAUGUUACAUGCGUGUGUGUGUGUGUGCCGGGGGCCUCGGUUCGGAGGACGUGUUGAUCCCAGCGAGUCUCGCGUGGACGAGAGGAAGAAACUCACAGUCCAGAGACAACGACGCAAGAAAGGUGGAAAAACUAAAAGCUUUAUUUUGUCUGCUGCGCCUGAAUAAAUCAUCUGCUCGGAGUUCACCAAUGACUGAUGAAUUAGUAACUCAGCGCCCACGUGACCUUUAGCCUGCCGGGGUUUAGGAAGACUUCCUCGGUGGACUCUUCAGAUGCUGUUAGUCAUCAUUAGUAUUACUUGAGCUGACUAAACUGGACCAUGGCACAUCAUUUGGGGAUUUUAUUACUAAAUAAAAGUUUAUUUUAUCGUUUACACACCCUCCAUCUCAACAUAUCGUUCUUCUGGCACCAUUUGCCAUAAAAAUCCAUCUAAAAGAAGCAGAAAUCUGUGAACGAUCCGUCUCUUUUCUUACAGGUGGUCUUUGCAAUGCUGGCAAAUGGAAGCGUCCGGUCUCCACAUCCCUUGUAUUUGGAACUGAUGUUGGAUGAGAGAAGACGGAGCUGAACUCCUGUUCGUCGUGGAGUCAGCAGAUAGUGGCUGUAGUCUUGGAGGUUGACCCCUCCCUGCACGAGCUUGAAGAAGCCCCCCGUCACACUUCCUGACUCCCCUCAGCAGCUCAGCGCCUCUGAGGCCCUCAAACACCUGCUUUAAUACGCUUGUGUAACAGCGCUAAAGGCGACGUUUCCACACACACACACAAAUAUAAGAAACGGGAAUAAAACUCAAUUCUGGAGAAGAAAGACUCAAGUCGUCUCUUAUAGUGCAGAAGGUACCUCGGUACAGCAGAAGAUACCGAGAAGCUCACGCGAACGACAGGAGAUCCUUUGAUUCUCUUCGUCUUGUCUUCAUUUUACACAGCACAGCGUUAACUAAAUAUAGAAAUGAUGUCACACGGUAGAUAAACUAUAUGCUCUCGUGCCGAACGCGGCUCUUCUGUGUCAUGACGCCAGUAAAACCAGACAAACCCGGAGCAUCACGGGUUGACGUGGCAGAAGGACUCAAUUGCAGAUUUCAAUAACAAAAACGGCUUUAUUCCACAAAAUCAAAAGGCCUGGGGGGCAAAACUCACCACACGACACUCGACAUAUGAAGCUCAAUAAACCCACCUGGCCUAAAUACACUGGGACUGUGUGGAAACAAUCGGGGACACGGCAGAUAAUCCCAGGGGACGACGCAGGAAGUGAAGCUCACCCAGGUACGACGACGCAGGGCUACUGAACUACAAAAACACUUCAUAUAUUGUUCAUAGUUUGAAGUCAAAAAGUUUGAAGCUGUAUUUUGAAACCAAGAGUGUUUAUGUAUUCAUUUAUAUUUACAGUAUUGUUUCAAUAGUUAAUAUAUUGCUCAAUUCAAAGAAAGAAAUUACCUUUGCCAAUAAAAGAAAACCUUUCCUUAAUGUCGUCAUUGGUUGAUUCUGUGUCUUU
ensembl:lncRNA